rnacentral:rRNA from 1 species
GACGAACGCUGGCGGCGCGCCUAACACAUGCAAGUCGAACGGAGCUUAGAGAGCUUGCUUUUUAGGCUUAGUGGCGAACGGGUGAGUAACGCGUGAGUAACCUGCCCUAGAGUGGGGGACAACAGUUGGAAACGACUGCUAAUACCGCAUAAGCCCACGGUACCGCAUGGUACUGAGGGAAAAGGAUUUAUUCGCUUUAGGAUGGACUCGCGUCCAAUUAGCUAGUUGGUGAGGUAACGGCCCACCAAGGCGACGAUUGGUAGCCGGACUGAGAGGUUGAACGGCCACAUUGGGACUGAGACACGGCCCAGACUCCUACGGGAGGCAGCAGUGGGGGAUAUUGCACAAUGGGGGAAACCCUGAUGCAGCGACGCCGCGUGGAGGAAGAAGGUUUUCGGAUUGUAAACUCCUGUCG